rnacentral:rRNA from 1 species
UACGUAGGGGGCAAGCGUUGUCCGGAUUUAUUGGGCGUAAAGAGCGUGUAGGCGGCCAGAUAGGUCAGCUGUGAAAACUCGAGGCUCAACCUCGAGACGCCGGUGGAAACCAUCAGACUAGAGUCCGGAAGAGGAGAGUGGAAUUCCUGGUGUAGCGGUGAAAUGCGCAGAUAUCAGGAAGAACACCCGUGGCUAAGGCGGCUCUCUAGUACGGUACUGACGCUGAGACGCGAAAGCGUGGGGAGCGAACAGG